rnacentral:rRNA from 1 species
CUACGGGCGGCUCCAGUGAGGAAUAUUGCACAAUGGGGGGGACCCUGAUGCAGCAACGCCGCGUGGAGGAUGACGCAUUUCGGUGUGUAAACUCCUUUUAUAUGUCAAGAAAAUGACGGUAGCAUAUGAAUAAGCACCGGCUAACUCCGUGUCAGCAGCCGCGGUAUACGGAGGGUGCAAGCGUUACUCGGAAUCACUGGGCGUAAAGGACGCGUAGGCGGGUUGGAAAGUCAGGUGUGAAAUCCUACAGCUUAACUGUAGAACUGCACUUGAAACUUCUAAUCUAGAGUGUGGGAGGGGGAGAUGGAAUUAGUGGUGUAGGGGUAAAAUCCGUAGAUAUCACUAGGAAUACCUAAAGCGAAGGCGAUCUCCUGGAACAUUACUGACGCUAAGGCGUGAAAGCGUGGGGAGCAAACAGGAUUAGAUACCCGAGUAGUC